rnacentral:SRP_RNA from 1 species
GGCCGGGACCGAGGCAAGGGUCGGCUGUGAACCGGGUCAGGUCCGAAAGGAAGCAGCCCUAAGCAGUACCGGUCCGGUGCUUUCGGCCCCCCGGUCGCA